AUAUUCGGAAGGUUUUUUUGCAAAACCACUGUGAACAGCUUAGACUUCGGUCUUUGCAAUUGCUUGGGUGUCGAAAGGCGCCCAAUCUUUAAAACUUUUAUAUUUGUUCUGAAACAAUGAAAAUUUAAAACUUUCAACAACGGAUCUCUUGGUUCUCGUAUCGAUGAAGAACGCAGCAAAGCGCGAUAGGUAAUGCGAAUUGCAGACGUGAGUCAUUGAAUUUUUGAACGCAUAUUGCGCUAUUAGUUUGUCUAAUAGCAUGCUUGUUGGAGUGAUAAUCUUCCUCUCAACCAUUUUUGGUAUGAGGUCUUGCUCCUUUUAGGAGUUAAAAUCAUGGAAGUGCACACGUUAAUUAACUCUGUGCAGUUAUACACUUUUCAUCCUCCAAUCAAGCAAGGUUACCCGCUGAACUUAAGCAUAUCAAUAAGCGGAGGA
rnacentral:rRNA from 1 species